rnacentral:rRNA from 1 species
UACAGAGGUCUCGAGCGUUAGGCGGAAUCACUGGGCUUAAAGCGUGUGUAGGCGGAUCGUUAAGUACCUUGUGAAAUCCCACGGCUUAACCAUGGAACUGCUUGGUAUACUGGCGGUCUUGAGCCAGCUAGGGGCUACCGGAACAAAUGGUGGAGCGGUGAAAUGCGUAGAUAUCAUUUGGAACGCCAAUGGUGAAAACAGACUGCUGGGGCUGUGCUGACGCUGAGACACGAAAGCCAGGGGAGCGAACGGG